CCUUUUGUAUAAUGGGUCAGCGACUUAUUUUCAGUGGCGAGCUUAACCGAAUAGGGGAGGCGUAGCGAAAGCGAGUCUUAAUAGGGCGUCUAGUCGCUGGGAAUAGACCCGAACCCGGGCGAUCUAUCCAUGGGCAGGUUGAAGGUUGGGUAACACUAACUGGAGGACCGAACCGACUACCGUUGAAAAGUUAGCGGAUGACCUGUGGAUCGG
rnacentral:rRNA from 1 species